AUUGAACGCUGGCGGCAUGCCUUACACAUGCAAGUCGAACGGCAGCAUGGGUGCUUGCACCUGAUGGCGAGUGGCGAACGGGUGAGUAAUGCAUCGGAACGUACCCGGAAGUGGGGGAUAACGUAGCGAAAGUUACGCUAAUACCGCAUAUUCUGUGAGCAGGAAAGCGGGGGAUCGCAAGACCUCGCGCUUCCGGAGCGGCCGAUGUCGGAUUAGCUAGUUGGCGGGGUAAAGGCCCACCAAGGCAACGAUCCGUAGCGGGUCUGAGAGGAUGAUCCGCCACACUGGGACUGAGACACGGCCCAGACUCCUACGGGAGGCAGCAGUGGGGAAUAUUGCGCAAUGGGCGAAAGCCUGACGCAGCAAUGCCGCGUGAAGGAUGACGGUCCUAGGAUUGUAAACUUCUGUUAAGUGGGAAGAAAAGCUGAUCUUUAAUAGAGAUCGUGUAUGACGGUACCACUAGAGAAAGCACUGGCUAAUUUCG
rnacentral:rRNA from 1 species